UGAGUUACAACGAUAGUCACCUACACUGUCCGGGAAUCGAAUCCGGGUCGCCCGGUUUAAAGUCCAGGACUCUACCUAUUGAGCUUAGCGAACAGUUUUUAAACCAGGUGGUUUACCUCGACUAGAUACUUUUCAUAAAGUUUUUUUAUGUUUAUUUCAGUAUUAAGCGUACAAUCCCUGGAAUGUUACGUGUGUACGGGUUGCAACGAUCCUUUCAACGAUAACGGAGUUUCUACAAGAACAUGUUUUGGGUCGUGUUUAAAGGCCAAAGGUUACGGUACUGUAGUCAGAACCUGUUCAGAAUUCGAUGCAGGCGACCAGUGUGCAGAAACUGACGAUCUUCAUUCAUGUUCUUGUACGACUGAUUUGUGUAACAGUGCGUCUGGAUUAAGCAUCACAUUACCUGUCGUAUGCAUAACCGCUGUCAUCUUCUUCCUAGG